AGGAGGCCUCCCUCUCCCCGCUGUAAGCGCUGCCGGGAUGUGGAAACGCUGAGGCCGAGAAGGAUCCAGCAGCAAUGAAGCCACCGCGGUCGAAGUUAUGCAAGAUGACCAGUAGGCAAGGACGGUCUGCUCCUGAGAGAUGAAUCGUGAGGCAUGACCAGGCAUCAGCUUGGGACCUUCUCUUCUCGUCCUCAGUGUUAGCUUCCUCACGGCGCCCACAUAGCCCCCAGAGUCCCCCUCACGCGUGUGUCCCAGCCUCCCCUGCCCGCAGCCACAUCCUACAAACAUGGGUCUUGAAAGAGGAGAUAAAGCUAAAAUGAAACCCUCAGGGUGGGCUUUAAUCCAAUCAUGCUGGUGUCCUUAUAAGACAAAGAAAUCUGGACACAAAAGGAGACACCAGGGGUGCACACAGAGAAAAGAUCGCAGGAGGAAGCAGCGAGAAGGUGGCCAUCUGCAAGCCAGUGAGAGAGGUCUCAGAAGAAACCAAAUUAACUGACACAUCAGUCUCAGACUUUAAGCUUCCAGAAUUGUGAGAAAAUACAUAUCUGUUGUCCAGGCCACAUGGUCUGUGGUAUUUUGUUAUGACAGCCCGAGCAAACUAAUAAACCAGCCCUUCUUACCUGUCUCA